ACUAUUUUGGCAGAAAGUAUGCAUUAAAUUUAGAAUUUAAUUAUAUAGAAUUAAUUUUAUAAAUAGUA
rnacentral:tRNA from 1 species